AUGAGAGAAUUCCACCCGAAAUGGGUCGAGUGGGUCAGUAAAAUUUUAGUGGGGGGUACAGUUAGUGUGAAGUUGAAUAAUGAGGUGGGCCCAUACUUUCAAAGCUCGAAAGGGGUGCGCCAAGGGGACCCUUUCUCACCAUUUCUUUUCAAUUUAGCUGCUGAUUGUUUGACAAAGAUGAUCCUUAAAACCCAACAAAACGGCUUGUUUAAAGGUCUGGCCUCGGACUUAAUUCCAAAUGGAGUAGCUAUUCUCCAGUACGCGGAUGACACAAUUUUAUGCUUCGAGGAUGAUAUCAGGAAUGCUCUGAACAUUAAGUUGCUUUUAUACCUCUUUGAGGUCAUGUUAGGUUUAAAAAUUAACUUCCUGAAGAGCGAGAUCUUCUCUGUCCGUGCGGACGAUGAGACUAUGCAUAAGUAUGCUGAGAUGUUUAACUGCCAGAUAGGUAAUUUCCCUAUGAAAUACCUAGGCAUGCCUGUCAAGUAUGCUGGUUUGAAAUGUGGUGAUUGGAGUUUUGUGGAGGACAAAUUCACCGUGCAUGGUGAAAACUGGAUUAGUGAAGUACUAUCUAUGGGAGUGAGGCUUAUUAAAGUGAAUGCGGUACCGUCCCAUAUCCCAACGUUUUACAUGUCCAUGUUCCUUUUAAACAAGACUACUCUAGAGAGGUGGGACAAGCCGAGAAGGAAAUUCUUCUGGCAUAGGAAAGGAAAGAAAAAAGGAUAUCAUAUGGUCAAAUGGGACCGCGUUUGUCGGUCUAAAAAGAAAGGAGGCCUAGGGGUUAAGGACCUGAGAAAACAAAAUAUAAGCUUACUGGUGAAAUGGUGGUGGAAGUUAGAUAAAAAUAAGGGCCUCUGGCAGGAUAUAGUUAAGGCUAAGUACCUCAAAAAGUCCUCAGUGGCCAUGGUGGAGGCAAGGAACAAUGAUUCCCCGUGUUGGAAAUCCCUCUUGAGAGUGAAAAAUUUAUAUAUGAAGGGCAGAGGUGUCAAGCUGAAUAAAGGGGAUGUGGCCAGACUAUGGUUCGAUGAACUGGAAGGAAGGAUACCAUUUAAAGAAAAGUUUCCAGUACUUUUUGAGAUAUGUGUUGAACAAAACUGUACUGUUGAUAGAAUAGAAUGUCUAAAUCAUAUCACCUCCUUUAGGAGGAGGAUGUCUCUUGAGAUGAGGAAUCAAUGGGAUGAAAUGAAAAGGGAGGUUCUGGCUCUCAAACAAAAUGAUUUACCUGAUGAAAUUUACUGGAAGUUUGAUAAUUCUGGUAUAUAUUCAACCAAAUCAAUGUACAGAUGGUUGGAAAAUGAUAUUGCUGGUUCCAAUUUCAAAUGGAUUUGGGAUGCUAAACUCCCCUUGAAAAUACAAAUCUUCUUAUGGCAAGUGGGGCAAAAUGCCAUUUUAACUAGAGAUAAUAUGAAAAAAAGAGCUUGGCCCGGAAACCCCUGUUGCUCCUUUUGCAACCAAUUGGAAACAACCUCGCACUUGUUGUUCCUGUGUCCGGUGUCUAGAGUAAUCUGGAGAACUGUAGGGGCUCUUCUUGGGACGGAUUGUUGUCCUAAUUCCAUCUGGCAGUAUUACGACUGGAUGCACAGCUUCCUACCUGGUUUUGAAAAAAAUUAUACUGUGGGCUUGGCAGCAAUAUGCUGGGCCAUAUGGCUAGCCCGGAACAGAGCUACUUUUGAAAGCAAAUGGAUUAACUCUCCUUUCGAGAUCGUGUUCACAGCUUGCGCCUUUCUAAUAUAUUGGGCAGGUCUUCAGAAACCUGGGAUGGAAGAGAUGGUGAAGAAGGGAGCGGAGAUGCUGAAAGCGAAUACUACUCAGAUGAUGCUGCUGUGUGGACCUCCUCCGGCGCCAAACAUGGACGGGCGCGACUGA
rnacentral:rRNA from 1 species